rnacentral:rRNA from 1 species
UACGUGGGGGGCUAGCGUUGUUCGGAAUUACUGGGCGUAAAGCGUGCGCAGGCGGCCCUUCAAGUCAGUGGUGAAAGCCCGGAGCUCAACUCCGGAAUUGCCAUUGAAACUGUUUGGCUCGAGUACGAGAGAGGUGAGUGGAAUUCCCAGUGUAGAGGUGAAAUUCGUAGAUAUUGGGAAGAACACCAGUGGCGAAGGCGGCUCACUGGCUCGUAACUGACGCUCAUGCACGAAAGCGUGGGGAUCAAACAGG